AGAGUUUGAUCAUGGCUCAGGACGAACGCUGGCGGCGUGCUUAACACAUGCAAGUCGAACGGAAAGGCCCCUUCGGGGGUGCUCGAGUGGCGAACGGGUGAGUAACACGUGGGUGAUCUGCCCUGCACUUUGGGAUAAGCCUGGGAAACUGGGUCUAAUACCGGAUAGGACCAUGGCCUGCAUGGGUUGUGGUGGAAAGCUUUUGCGGUGUGGGAUGGGCCCGCGGCCUAUCAGCUUGUUGGUGGGGUGAUGGCCUACCAAGGCGACGACGGGUAGCCGGCCUGAGAGGGUGUCCGGCCACACUGGGACUGAGAUACGGCCCAGACUCCUACGGGAGGCGGCAGUGGGGAAUAUUGCACAAUGGGCGCAAGCCUGAUGCAGCGACGCCGCGUGAGGGAUGACGGCCUUCGGGUUGUAAACCUCUUUCACCAGGGACGAAGCGUAAGUGACGGUACCUGGAGAAGAAGCACCGGCCAACUACGUGCCAGCAGCCGCGGUA
rnacentral:rRNA from 1 species